GCGAACGCUGGCGGCAGGCUUAACCCAUGCAAGUCGAGCGGGCACUUCGGUGUCAGCGGCAGACGGGUGAGUAACACGUGGGAACGUACCCUUCGGUUCGGAAUAACGCUGGGAAACUAGCGCUAAUACCGGAUACGCCCUUUUGGGGAAAGGUUUACUGCCGAAGGAUCGGCCCGCGUCUGAUUAGCUAGUUGGUGGGGUAAUGGCCUACCAAGGCGACGAUCAGUAGCUGGUCUGAGAGGAUGAUCAGCCACACUGGGACUGAGACACGGCCCAGACUCCUACGGGAGGCAGCAGUGGGGAAUAUUGGACAAUGGGCGCAAGCCUGAUCCAGCCAUGCCGCGUGAGUGAUGAAGGCCUUAGGGUUGUAAAGCUCUUUUGUCCGGGACGAUAAUGACGGUACCGGAAGAAUAAGCCCCGGCUAACUUCGUG
rnacentral:rRNA from 1 species